AUUCAAUUCAAUUCAAUUUAAUUCAAUUUAAUUCAGUUCAAUUCAAUUCAAAAAUACUUUAUUAAUCCCAGAGGGAAAUUGAUUAUUUCAGGGAUAAACCUCCAUCUGCUCCCUUCUCUGCUGUCCACAGAAAGGAUCCUUUGUGCCAGGCUCCGCGGGCGCCUCAGCUCCGAGGUUUUACCUUUCACUCACAGGAUCUUUAGCCAAUAGGACCCUCACCUAUGUGUGGACAGGAGGGUAAAAGAUCUGCAGCGACUAGCUCCUCGUGACUGAAACGCUCUGACAGCUCAGACUGAUCAGCAGUGACCCAACAGGGAGCAACCACAGGUUUGGAAAACUGGACAAGGUGAACAUGAGCUCUCCUGGAGGAUUCUGGACCAUCUGCACUUGGCUGGGACCUCCUCACGAACUUUGGCUCGCUGGGUCCAUUUUCAUCCACAAGCUUUUGGAUGGGUGACGACUGGCUGGACUUCCAAAAGGGAGGAAACUUUUUUCCAGGGUGGAAAGUGUUGUUUCUCCUCAUUUCCAGCUCCACAUACCACAAUAAUACUGCCUCAACUAUCGCUCUGUUUCUCUUCUAUUCUUCUCUGAAUGCCCUGGUUGUUCUGAGGACAUCUCUCAGAGGUAAACAGGAUUUUCUGCACCUAUGAGGUCAAAGUGUCCCCCCCCCCCCCCAUCUCUUCAUGCCUGACCUUAAAUCUACCAUGUCCUGUCAAAGGCUCUUCUAAUAAAUCCAUGCAGUUUUUGCUCUUUCUGAA